AGUGAACGCUGGCGGUAGGCCUAACACAUGCAAGUCGAACGGCAGCACAGUAAGAGCUUGCUCUUACGGGUGGCGAGUGGCGGACGGGUGAGGAAUACAUCGGAAUCUACUUUUUCGUGGGGGAUAACGUAGGGAAACUUACGCUAAUACCGCAUACGACCUACGGGUGAAAGCAGGGGAUCUUCGGACCUUGCGCGAUUGAAUGAGCCGAUGUCGGAUUAGCUAGUUGGCGGGGUAAAGGCCCACCAAGGCGACGAUCCGUAGCUGGUCUGAGAGGAUGUUCAGCCCCAUGGAAACGGAGACACGUCCCAGAUCCUUAGGGAAGGCAGCGUUGGGGAAUAUUGGCCAAGGGGGGCAAGCUGGUCCCAGCCAUCCCGCGUGGUUGAAGAAGGCUUCGGGUUGUUAAAGCCCUUUUGUUGGGAAAGAAAAGCAGCAGUUUAAACCCCCGCUGUUCGGACGGUACCCAAAGAUUAAGCACCGGCAAACUCCUU
rnacentral:rRNA from 1 species